UGUUGUAUUUUCCGUCCCUGUCUUUGUUCCCGUCGAGUUCACCAACGCCGUCGUUGUUGUAGUCGGCGUGUCCCGUAUACUGGGAGGAUCGGCGAGUAUUGCUGCUAAUUGUUCCUAAAGAAAAAUCGCUCGCAGAAUAAAGUUAACGAGUUGAGAUGGGAAAGAUUGCAACAGGGUUUUACCUUUCGAUUCUUUAUUUCAAUGAAAAGAAAAAAGAAAAAAAAAAAGACAAAAAGAAGAACUAUAUAUAACGUUAACAAAAACAGCGAUAUUAUCUAUAUAUUAAGUAUAAUAAAUCUCGUUGAAAUAUUAAAAGAAUAAAAAAAAAAGUUAAAACAAAUGUCGUUGAAAGAACCGUGCCGAUAAUUCUCUUCUUUUUUUUACUCGUUCGGUAUCUUCGGUUUCUAGAGGGUGAACAAGGAUGAAAAAAAAAGAAGAGGAAGGAAAAAGGGAAAAGAAGAGGUAAAAUAAGAUCAUUCCAAGGAUUCAUGCGAGCAACGACGGACUGUCCUCGUGCAAAGACGUCGUCGAGCCCGUCGUCGUCCUCGUCUUCGUCGCCGACGUCGGACCGAGUACUUACGCACCAGCAACCUACUCGUGUUCGUUCCGAGUUUCCGUACCACAGAACGGAUCGUCACGGACAUCUGCUUCGUCUUCGCUGUCUCUCCCUUUUCGAUUAUAGAUACCGCCUACGCAUCAAAAUCAAAUCCUUUGCCAAUUCUCUAUCUCAUUUUGUAAUUGUCAAUUCAUCGUUAUCUUUUUUUUUUAUUUUUCUAUUGUCUUAAGAAGAACCGAGUCGAUAGGAGUAAGAUAUUGUGUUAUAUAAUAUUAAAAUUAUAUGUGCAUGUAUCUAUUAUUAUUCAUUAGGGUGGUUCCAAGUAGAUUUGAAUCUCUUUUCUUUUUUAGAAAAAAAAAAAAAGGAAAUAUUCCAUUAAUUUAACCAAGAUUCAUUAAUACAAAUCAGAAUCGUAAUCCAUAUUAUAUAUUGUCGCUUCGAAAUUCUGUUCUAUGUUGUAAUUAUUAUGCAUCGCAGAAGUGAUAUAAUAUUUGAUACGGUAGAGACCGUAAUCGACGAUGAAGAAAGGAAAGAAAAGAGAGCUCAGAUCGACCUCGAACCAUUUUCGAAAUCGGCCAAAUUCGGAUCUAAGAUUCGGAGAUUCGACCUUCAAAGUGGCAUCCGUUAGCGUCAGUAAACGGCGGGAAAUCCUGAUGAGAAGUUUGCCAAUCCAUCGUGGGGUUUUAGCGGCUAGAGAUGUUGCACCAUUCACGAGAUGAACUAUGCGUCUUGCUGAUUCUCUUGUCAAUAGGACGAGCAAUUGUUCCAAGGUUGCUGGACGUGCUUGAUUCUCAGGUUCGGGUAAGCUCAAUAUGUUCCAUAAUUCUUUAGCUUUCUGCAAAGCUAAUUUUGGAUCCGUUGCAAGCUAACAAAGAGACGAAAUUAUUUAUAAUUUAAUGAAAGUUGCAAUUUUUGAUAUUAUAAAGAGAAACCAAGAACUUACCAAUUCUAUUACAUAGAAAAACACGUGAAUGCAUUCAGUGCCUUGUUCUUUGAGAGCACGAGCCUCAGCCAAUGUACGACGUGUCAAUCUCCUUUGUAAUUUUAUUGAAAAUCUUGCACCGUGCUUAAUCGUACGAGUCGUCUUGCUGACAGGUUCGUUCAUAUCAACUUCUGUUAGAUAAAAACAUAAAAAAUAAAAAAAUAAAAAGAAU